rnacentral:rRNA from 1 species
CCUACGGGCGGCAGCAGUGGGGAAUAUUGCACAAUGGGCGAAACCCUGAUGCAGCGACGCCGCGUGAGUGAAGCAGUCUUUCGGUUUUUAAAACUUUUUCAGCAGGGAAAAAAAUGACGGUACCUGAGUAAGAAGCCCCGGCUAAAUACGUGCCAGCAGCCGCGGUAAUACGGAGGGGGCAAGCGUUAUCCGGAUUUACUGGGUGUAAAGGGAGCGUAGACGGCAGUGUAAGUCUGGAGUGAAAGGCGGAGGCUCAACCCCCGGACUGAUAUUGAAACUGUGCGGCUGGAGUGCAGGAGAGGUAAGUGGAAUUCCUGGUGUAGCGGUGAAAUGCGUAGAUAUUAGGAGGAACACCGGUGGCGAAGGCGGCUUACUGGACUGUAACUGACGUUGAGGCUCGAAAGCGUGGGUAGCAAACAGGAUUAGAUACCCUUGUAGUC